GACGAACGCUGGCGGCGUGCUUAACACAUGCAAGUCGAGCGAACAAAGCUCCUUCGGGAGUGGAGUUAGCGGCGGACGGGUGAGUAACACGUGGGUAACCUGCCUUAUAGAGGGGGAUAGCCUUCCGAAAGGAAGAUUAAUACCGCAUAAGAAGUAGAAGUCGCAUGGUGCAGGGGUCAAAGAUUAAUCGCUGAGAGGUGGGCUCGCGUCUGAUUAGAUAGUUGGUGGGGUAACGGCCUACCAAGUCGACGAUCAGUAGCCGACCUGAGAGGGUGAUCGGCCACAUUGGGACUGAGACACGGCCCAAACUCCUACGGGAGGCAGCAGUGGGGAAUAUUGGGCAAUGGGGGGAACCCUGACCCAGCAACGCCGCGUGGAGGAAGAAGGUUUUCGGAUCGUAAACUCCUGUCCUCAGGGAAGAGCAGAAGACGGUACCUGAGGAGGAAGCCCCGGCUAACUACGUG
rnacentral:rRNA from 1 species